GCCUGACAUUCUCGCUGUCUCCGUCUGUCUGCCGGUCUUCCCCUUCUAGGGCAGCUGCACUUUGGCUGUGCCGUGCCCAUUGUGAACUGUAUUUGCGCAGGCGUACAUUGAACUUUAGUCCUUCCAUCCAUCCUUCCAACCAUCCAACCAAUCAUCCAUGCAUCGUUCAAGGGGCAGGUAACAUGCAGACGCUCAGACACUGCGGCAGAUGUUUCGCUCCUUUGCCUCUGCCUUUGUCGCAGGUCAGUUGUUUGGGUCCCGAAAGAGUUGAUUUCGUUAUCCUGUCUGGGGUUCUGCCUUUAUUUGGUCCUCCUCAAACAUUUGUUUGUGUCUUUGUUUGGCUAAAAGAAGUCAUUAUCGGGGGCAUAGCGUGGUUUUUGAGUGUGGGUGUGAGCGAAGCACUGCUGCUGGAUAGGGGUUCCCAGGGGUACAACAGCUUCAGAUCAAGUUGCCAAAUAGAGCAGACAAAUUCCCAGCCAGGAAGGGCGAGUGGCACAAGAUUUCCGGGGAGGAGGAAACAGCAACUUAGUUGAAAGGGUUUCCUUGUCUUUUCAAAGUCAAUUUAAAAUCAAGAAAUUCGCAUUCUAAACGCAUUCCCAACCCUAUGCUAAU
rnacentral:lncRNA from 1 species